rnacentral:rRNA from 1 species
UACGUAGGGACCCAGCGUUGUCCGGAAUCAUUGGGCGUAAAGCGCGCGUAGGUGGCCAUUUAAGUCCGCUGUGAAAGUCAAAGGCUCAACCUUUGAAAGCCGGUGGAUACUGGAUGGCUAGAGUACGGAAGAGGCGAGUGGAAUUCCUGGUGUAGCGGUGGAAUGCGCAGAUAUCAGGAGGAACACCAAUAGCGAAGGCAGCUCGCUGGGACGUUACUGACACUGAGGCGCGAAAGCGUGGGGAGCGAACAGG